rnacentral:rRNA from 1 species
GACGAACGCUGGCGGCGUGCUUAACACAUGCAAGUCGAACGGAAAGGCCCUGCUUUUGUGGGGUGCUCGAGUGGCGAACGGGUGAGUAACACGUGAGUAACCUGCCCUUGACUUUGGGAUAACUUCAGGAAACUGGGGCUAAUACCGGAUAGGAGCUCCUGCUGCAUGGUGGGGGUUGGAAAGUUUCGGCGGUUGGGGAUGGACUCGCGGCUUAUCAGCUUGUUGGUGGGGUAGUGGCUUACCAAGGCUUUGACGGGUAGCCGGCCUGAGAGGGUGACCGGCCACAUUGGGACUGAGAUACGGCCCAGACUCCUACGGGAGGCAGCAGUGGGGAAUAUUGCACAAUGGGCGGAAGCCUGAUGCAGCGACGCCGCGUGCGGGAUGACGGCCUUCGGGUUGUAAACCGCUUUCGCCUGUGACGAAGCGUGAGUGACGGUAAUGGGUGAAGAAGCACCGGCUAACUACGUG